rnacentral:rRNA from 1 species
CCAGCAGCUGCGGUAAUUCCAGCUCCAAUAGCGUAUACUAAAGUUGUUGCAGUUAAAAAGCUCGUAGUUGAAUUUCUGACUUUGAGGCGCGACCGGCCCCGUGUGGGUCUGUGUCUGUGAAUCGAGGUCAUCCUCGGGGAAUGCGUAUCUGUCAUUAAGUUGAUGGGUACGAGUACCCCGUCAUUUACUGUGAGCAAAAUAGAGUGUUCAAAGCAGGCUUACGCCACUGAAUACAUUAGCAUGGAAUAAUAAGAUAGGACCUUGGUCUAUUUUGUUGGUUAGUACUCCAAGGUAAUGAUUAAUAGGGACAGUUGGGGGUAUUCGUAUUCAAUUGUCAGAGGUGAAAUUCU